rnacentral:rRNA from 1 species
UACGGAGAGUGCAAACGUUGUUCGGAUUCACUGGGCGUAGAGGGCGCGUAGGCGGCUCGGCAAAUCGGUCGUGGAAUCCCGACGCUUACCGUCGGAACGGCGGCCGAAAAUACCGGGCUCUAGGGCGUGAGGGGUCACUGGAACUCCUGGUGAAGCGGUGAAAUGCGUAGAUAUCAGGAGGAACGCCGGAGGCGAAAGCGAGUGACUGGCGCGUUCCUGACGCUGAGGUGCGAAAGCUAGGGGAGCAAACAGG